GGAUUAACACAGUGGCUCAACACCGGGAAGGAACUGGCUCUUGGAGUCCGGACAUCUGAAACUUGGACUGUGAAUGCAACCCAUGAAAAAGAGGGUUUUCGGAAGCUUGACAUUUAUGAGGGUGAGGAAUUAACAAGCCAACAUCAGUCUCCAGAGUGAAUCCAAGGAGAGGACCCAAGACAUUCAUGUUCUGUGAUGUGGUGACAUGUUACCUGUCAUCUCUGAUGCACAACUCCUAAAGUGUUUGCAUCUGGGGCAGUUGUACAGAUUGCAGAAGCUAAUACUCAAGAUGUUCUCCAAGGCCAACUACUCAUCAGUUUAUUCAUGUUUCUGGGAUUGGAUUCAUGAACUCAUCCUUUGAACUAUUUCAACAAGCUUUUUCAUGUAACUAAUCUGCGGAAGGUAGAAAGGGUAAAACUGUUGGGUGCUAAAAUGACAACUGGUUCAAGGUACAACGGCGAAUAUUUUUAUUUCUGCAACUUUUCUUAGAGGUUGGAAACUGGACUAGGCAGGAAGAUUCCGUUUUGUAAGAUUAGUCUCCAGUUUUCAUCAAGCAGUUUAGUGGGGUAUUUUAGACCCAGUUCCCUCUCCACAGUCCCCAAAGUUCUUCUGUUAACUUUAAAUCAGCAAAGAGAGAGAUCUCUGCCAAGCAUCAACUGCAAGAGCAUGUGGGUCAAAGUUACCAGCAGACACUCAAAGCACAUUCACUUUACUUCAACACUGCUUUAUAAAUUAUCUUAGAGAUGUUGUCAAGGUUGGUAUCAGAGGUGAGUGGUCAUGACUUCACGAUUUCUCAUCUUUCUGAAUGCACAGCGGCUGGGAGGUGGUGGCUCAUGCCUGUAAUCCCAGCACUUUGGGAGGCC
rnacentral:lncRNA from 1 species